rnacentral:rRNA from 1 species
GAUGAACGCUGGCGGCGUGCUUAACACAUGCAAGUCGAACGGUGAAGCAGGAGCUUGCUCCUGUGGAUCAGUGGCGAACGGGUGAGUAACACGUGAGCAAUCUGCCCUGGACUCUGGGAUAAGCGUUGGAAACGACGUCUAAUACCGGAUACGAGACGCGAAGGCAUCUUCAGCGUCUGGAAAGAACUUCGGUCCAGGAUGAGCUCGCGGCCUAUCAGCUAGUUGGUGAGGUAACGGCCCACCAAGGCGACGACGGGUAGCCGGCCUGAGAGGGUGACCGGCCACACUGGGACUGAGACACGGCCCAGACUCCUACGGGAGGCAGCAGUGGGGAAUAUUGCACAAUGGGCGCAAGCCUGAUGCAGCAACGCCGCGUGAGGGACGACGGCCUUCGGGUUGUAAACCUCUUUUAGCAGGGAAGAAGCGAAAGUGACGGUACCUGCAGAAAAAGCACCGGCUAACUACGUGCCAGCAGCCGCCGUAAAAC